AUGGAUGUUAUGGUGCACGAGAGCAAUGGAGAUCAUGCUGAAGUUGGAUAUGUCCCGAGGGAUCUUUACAACUUUUCAUACUUAAAUAAAUGUGCUAAGAUUAUUGAUGGUGAUGCAAAUGCAGUUCUGCAAAAUAUGAGACAAAGACAACUAGAAGAUUGUGAAUUCUUCUUUGACUACCAAACCAAUUCUGAAGGCCGCUUGGUUAAUUUGUUUUGGUGUGAUGAUCAGUCUCGCCUAGAUUACCAAGCAUUUGGGGAUCUUCUCAUUUUUGACAGCACGUAUCGGACAAAUAAGUACAACGUGCCCUUUGUUCCUUUUGUGGGGUUGAAUCACCAUCGUAGCACCACAAUUUUUGCUUGUGCUGUUGUUUCUCAUGAAACAACUGAAUCAUUUAAAUGGUUACUGCAUACUCUACUAGUUGCAAUGUAUCAGAAAUAA
rnacentral:rRNA from 1 species